UUUACAUGUUACGGCCUUGUUAUCAUUCGUUCGGUGACACUUGAACAGAAAUGUAGUAGUGUGCAAGACGUUCCGUCAAAUUCCUUUCUAAACGCGAUCGUGACAAGUAUCGAGAAAUGUGUGCAGUGAGCAGCGAGCAGUGAGCAGUGAGCAAGCUGUCACCGUUGCCCCAAAUACAUGGUGGCACGUGCGCCUGCAAGAUCAUCGCUCGGAAGGGCUGCAACUUAGGGGGUUGCGUACUCGUAUCGAAAGGUCCUACAGAUGAUCGGGAUGCAGCAGCAGGCCGGACAUUGAGCAGCCUAAUCUCUAUGACAAACACUUGACUGGCAAAGCUAGCAGGCCACCCUUGACGUCGUUGUUAAUGUCGCCGGGGAGAGGGGGAGAUGACGCACAGGGGGUGGCAUCAGGCGUGGCAUGAUGGCUCUGACAGCCGCAGAUGGCACUUGCCGGCUUGUUUGUCAUAAAAUCCCCCCCGGGUUCGGAGUCGCCAUCACUGUCGACCAUAGCUGGCUCGCACGAGCACCCUUGUGGACUAUAGUCCUCGCACGGACGAUGAAACGGGGGCGAGAAAAAUGUCGCUGUAAUCGCGUGGGCGAGCCGAGUUUGCGCGACUCUUUUUUCCGCAUUUCUUAUCGCGCGUAAUUAUGUGACAUAUGUGCGCGCCACCGCGCACGACCGAUAGCGAGCGAGGACCGCAAGAAGGUUUUCGCGUGGGCAACGUUUACGUCAAUGUUUAGAUGAAAAACAAUGCCUCGACUCAUCCUGCGAUCUACCUCGCGCGCAACCCGCGCUACCGAUAAACAAAAAUACAACAUUCGG